rnacentral:rRNA from 1 species
AAGCAUAUCAAUAAGCGGAGGAAAAGAAACCAACAGGGAUUGCCUUAGUAACGGCGAGUGAAGCGGCAACAGCUCAAAUUUGAAAUCUGGCCCUUUUAGGGUCCGAGUUGUAAUUUGCAGAGGGUGCUUUGGCGUUAGUAGCGAUCUAAGUUCCUUGGAACAGGACGUCACAGAGGGUGAGAAUCCCGUACGUGGUUGCUCUACUUUCGCCGUGUAAAGCCCCUUCGACGAGUCGAGUUGUUUGGGAAUGCAGCUCUAAAUGGGAGGUAAAUUUCUUCUAAAGCUAAAUACCGGCCAGAGACCGAUAGCGCACAAGUAGAGUGAUCGAAAGAUGAAAAGCACUUUGGAAAGAGAGUCAAAAAGCACGUGAAAUUGUUGAAAGGGAAGCGCUUGCAGCCAGACGUGCCUGUAGUUGCUCAUCCGGGCUUUUGCCCGGUGCACUCUUCUGCAGGCAGGCCAGCAUCAGUUUGGGCGGCUGGAUAAAGACCUCUGUCACGUACCUCCCUCCGGGGAGGCCUUAUAGGGGAGGUGUCAUGCAGCCAGCCCGGACUGAGGUCCGCGCAUCUGCUAGGAUGCUGGCGUAAUGGCUGUAAGCGGCCCGUCUUGAAACACGGACCAAGGAGUCUAACAUCUAUGCGAGUGUUUGGGUGUCAAGCCCGGGCGCGCAAUGAAAGUGAACGGAGGUGGGAACCCUUCGGGGCGCACCAUCGACCGAUCCUGAUGUCUUCGGAUGGAUUUGAGUAAGAGCAUAGCUGUUGGGACCCGAAAGAUGGUGAACUAUGCUUGAAUAGGGUGAAGCCAGAGGAAACUCUGGUGGAAGCUCGCAGCGGUUCUGACGUGCAAAUCGAUCGUCAAAUUUGGGCAUAGGGGCGAAAGACUAAUCGAACUAUCUAGUAGCUGGUUCCUGCCGAAGUUUCCCUCAGGAUAGCAGUAACGCAUUUCAGUUUUAUGAGGUAAAGCGAAUGAUUAGAGGCCUGGGGGUUGAAACAACCUUCACCUAUUCUCAAACUUUAAAUAUGUAAGAAGUCCUUGUUACUUGAUUGAACGUGGACAUUUGAAUGUAGCGUUACUAGUGGGCCAUUUUUGGUAAGCAGAACUGGCGAUGCGGGAUGAACCGAACGCGAGGUUAAGGUGCCAGAAUGCACGCUCAUCAGACACCACAAAAGGUGUUAGUUCAUCUAGACAGCAGGACGGUGGCCAUGGAAGUCGGAAUCCGCUAAGGAGUGUGUAACAACUCACCUGCCGAAUGAACUAGCCCUGAAAAUGGAUGGCGCUCAAGCGUGCUACCUAUACCUCGCCGCCAGGGCAAAAAUUACGCCCUGGCGAGUAGGCAGGCGUGGAGGCCCGUGACGAAGCCUUAGGAGUGAUCCUGGGUCGAACGGCCUCUAUCG